CUGGGAGUAGUGAAAAGUCCAAGGGCAUCUACUUUCUACUCUUAAAAAGAUGUGCAUUUUAUAUUUUAAUUAGAUCCUCUACACUCUAACAUUAACAUAUCUGUUCAAACUUGUCUAGUUGCCAAGUGGCUUGAGAGUGUUAAGAUUUAAAUCCUUUUUGGAGUAUCUCUGAGAGUAGUCUGGAAGCAAAAUGUUCUCCUCUCAGGAUGAUGUCAUUUGUGAAGCAGGGAAACAUGGAGAACUAGUGCUAUGCGUGAGUCUUGGGAGGUUGACACUGUAAUUGUCAGCGGGAGGUCGUCGAUGUAGAUCACGCUUAAGAAAGGUGAUCCAUGGUAGAAAGAUAGAUCACCUUAAAGAAAGAAAUGAGGAACAAGGGAAGGAAUGAAGGGAAGGAAUGAAAGGAAGGGAGGAAGAAAGGAAGGAAGAAAGGAAGGAAGGAAGGAAGGAAGGAAGGAAGGAAGGAAGGAAGGAAGGAAGGAUGGAUACAGAAGGUAGGCAUCUUUCUAUUUCCCCAUAUGCUAACCCAAGGAAUCCUCUGUGCUUUUCCUGGGUAAGGAAGAGGAAGAAUUGGUAUCUUUGAAAGGAGUGUGGCUUCUUCAGUGGGUCUCACUCUUACAAGAUAAGGUGAAAUAAUUAAUUAAUUUGUGUCAAAUUAACGUUGAAAGUCUUUUCUGCAUUGUAAUGUUAUCAGUCCUGUGUAUCAGUUGAGUUUGAAAUGUGUAUUUAGUUUCCUGGUGACUUAGAGCUGAGGUGCUUCUGGUUGUGACAACAGGAGCCACAACUAUUUGUUUUGCAUUUCAGAUGUGAUCCAUAAAAGUUGUGGACAAUAACUUUGAUUGAUCACACAAACUCUCGGCAUUUGGGUUAUCUCUCGUAUCAUUGUUUUGUUAUUGAUGUUUUCACUGAAAUUUCAGCUACACGUUUGUGCACAUGAAUACUUGUGUUUACCAAAGAUCUAAGGCAUUUGGUUAAUUAGCCCAAAUACCACGAGCUAUGUGUAAAGUAAUAGAGAAAAGCUUUAAGAUCUCAAUAGCAUCAACUGUGUAAAUUAAAUCAAAAUACCUUCCCUAUUAUUUAUGAACCCACAGGAGACUUUAAACUCUAGUAGAUGGAUGCUAAAUGCCUAGGCCCACUUAACUUAUUAAUGUGUGAAUUACAUUUAUGUUUUUAGUUUAUAUGCAAAGAAAUGUGAUUAUUUUAUAAUAAAUAUUUUUAUUAUAAUAAUG
rnacentral:lncRNA from 1 species